AGAGGCUGUCGGACUCUGACUGCGCGGAGACCGCUGGACUCUGGUCGCGGCCUUAGUCCGCUGAUCCUCGCUUGGGUGCCCGCCCUUAGCGGCCCGGCGUUGAAUUCCGGGAAGUGGGAGCUUCAGGCUCGCUCCGUGCGGAGGCGGGGUUUUGUCAUGUUGCUAGGUUGGUGUUGAACUCCUGAGCUCGAGCGAUCCACCUGCCACUGCCUUCCAAAGUGCUGGAAUUACAGGCGUGAGCCACGGCGCCCGGUGGCCGAGGUUAAUAAUAAUUAAAAGUUUCUAAUCCCAUUGUUCAGUUAUUUGAUUUGGUGUAAAGGCGCACUUUCCAAGUCAGAUGAGUUUGUGGUAACAUACAUUCCCCAAAUAAUUAUUUUUCCCUUGUGGGAAAUAUUCCAGUUUUAGGCUACCAGCUGUUUAAACAGUUUGGUUCAAAUCCUUCAAAAAAAUCUCAAAACAUAACUCCACAUAUGUAUUUACUACAUAUUGAAGGGUGUAUUCACUUGGAGAAGUAGGAGAAAGCAAACAGAUGCCAAUGGCCUUUUUGAAAACAUGUAUCUAUCAGCAAUAAUUGAAUAGCAAAACGAAGUGGAACACUACCAUCCUUUGCAAUAUUAGAUAGUUUUAAUACUGGGUUGUGAGGAAUGAAAAGAUCAUACAAAUCGUCAUUUCUGAAGUCAUUUCUGAAGUCGUCAUUUCUGAACUGAGUGCUAAUUUUUCAUAUUAAGCUUUAUGUUAAUAUCCUUAAUGAGAGGAACUUCCUGUGCCCGUAAUUUCUCCAGAGAAACUAUUAACAUACACAGAAUGUUGUAAUCAGAAGUAUAGUUCAGUUAAUAAAGUCCUCAAUUACAACUCUGACAUUUUGUCAUUGUCUUAUGAAAAGAAUUACUGUAUAUACAGUCUAUUUUACGUUUUCCGGAAGCACGUCAGGCAGGUUUUUUGUUUUUUUACUACUAAUUGUGCCAUUGAAUAUGCUAUUCUGUCGUAUUGUGCCAUCAAACAUGCUAUUCGAAAAAAGAUCUUGCCCAAUUUGUAAUAAAAUAUUGAACAUUGGAGAUUUAGAUUUCGAGUAAAAUCAUACUUUAUUGCUUUGCAGAAGUACACAGUAGGUGGAAAAUUGCAACAAUCUUGCCAGUUCAUUUUUUAAAAAGCGUGUAGGUAAUCCAAAGAUACCUUUUUGAUGAUUUGUUAUCAACAUAGUUAAAUUUGCAGUGUCACUUUAUUUGAAUAAACUAGCUUUAUCUCUACUUAGUGGUACUAAAACAAUAGCCAAACAGUUGAUAAUCUCAACACAUGACUAACGAAAAAUUCCACAUAAUUAACAUUAACCAGGAGGUUUUUGUUACUAUUUAAUUUCUCAUUUUUAAAAUUUCAUAUUCUUUGGAAAGAAUAUUACUUUUCCGGAAUCUAAGACAGCAUUUUGUGGGUCCUUAAUUGUGAUAUGCUUUACUAGGUAAAGUACUAAAUGGGUAUCCUUAGGUGGGGAUAGGCUGGGAACCACAUAUCCAGAAUUGUGAAAUAUAUAACAUAAACAGGAUAACUUGCUCCUUUGUUAGCUUUUUGGAUGCCAGGGUUAAGAUUUUAAUUCCAUAAUUAUGUCCUUGUUGCCUGGAGGAUUUGCAUAUGAGAAACCACAAAAACAAUCGGGACAUUAUUAAAAUACCCUAGAAUCUCAACCUGUGACAGUAUUUCCCAUGUCCUUGCAAAACCAGAGGAAGUCUUUCCAAUAUGAUUCUUAAAUUUACAAAGUCCUCUGAAUAGAAACCAUGAAAUCCUAAGUCAUCUUCUAGUGAAGAUUUGCUGUACAUUUUCUGUUUUCCUAAUAAGAAAUUAGAGGAGUUUAGUUCCCAGUGUUGGGCAAGGGAUAGGACUCAGUCACCUGGAAAGUUCUUUUGUAACUACACGUGCCUGACACUCCUAUUCUUCCCCUCUGCUGAUAUGCAGAAUUUCUAGGUUCUAGGUAGUAUUUGGGAAGUUUCCCAGAUUAUUCUGAUAUCUACCAGCGGCUCAUCCACCUUCUUUAUGGUCACUGUAUUUGGGGAUUUUGAAUGAUAAAUUCUUGAAUCACUAAAAGCUAAAUUUCAAACAGAAAAUUGUUAGAGAUGAUACUAAGAGGCAAGUAUGUAUAAAAUCUAAUAGGCAUUGAAGAAGAUACAAAGAUUCCAUCCUCUACUGAAAAAUUAAGUGUGCACGCAGAGUAAGAAAGAAGGUUAAGUAGCCAACCUCAAAAAUAUUUAAAAAUUAUUGCAUUGAUGCUGUAUCACUCAUUUCCUUGCCCAGAUUCUUUUUUUUUUUUUUUUUUUUUGAGACAGAGUCUCACUUUGUCACCCAGGCUGGAGUGCAGUGGUGCUAUCUCAUUUCACUGCAAUCUCCGCUUUCUGGGUUCAAGUGAUUCUCAUGCCUCAGCCUUCCAAGUAGCUGGGACUACAGGCACGCGCCACCACACCCAGCUAAUUUUGUGUACUUUUAGUAGAGACUGGGUUUCACCAUGUUGGCAAGGCUGGUGUCAAACUCCUGACCUCAGGUGAUCUGCCUGCUUCAGCCUCCCAAAGUGCUGGGAUUACAGGUGUGAGCCACCAUGCCCAGCCCUUGCCCAGAUUCUUUAUUCACUGCUGUCCAAAUACUGUUGGUCCUCUGUACCUGCAGGGAUUUGCAGGUACAGAGGCUCAACUAUAAGGGACUUGAGCAUCCCCAGGUUUUGGUAAAUGGGGGUCCUGGAACUAAUUCUCUGCAGAUACUGAGGGACAAACGGUACCACUCAUUUUAAUGCAGAAAUUUUGUAUUCAUCCUUUCUUUUUAACUCCCACUACCGGGCUUAGUUUAGGCCUCUAUUUUCUCUAUCUUUCCCUUCAGCUUAUCCUUUAGGUUUCCUUCAAACUUGAAAUCUAACUAAAUCAGUCCCCUGUUAUAUACCACAUAUAUUUGUAAACUAAACAUAUAUGAAGAUGUAUGUACAUAUCAUAUAUUCCUAGUAUUUUAGUUACUUAAUUUUUUCACAGACUAAUCUCAGUAUUGCCUCUCAUCAUUCCUAAUGGACACUUGGUACUCUAGACACUUCUUCAGGUCACUGGAAAGGUAUCUCUCAUUGUAAGUGGAUAUAACCCAUUUAUCUUAUGGGUCAGUCUUUCAUAAGUUCGUUUAAGUAAAUGCUCAAGAACUGUUGAGUACCUUGACACAAUUGUGCUGACAACCUAUAAGACUUGUCAGAAAACUCUCUGACCUCCCUUUUAGGACAUGGAAUUGAGUAUUCUGUAAGUGCGGCAUGUCAUUGUAUCACAAUAUAGCAUUUGUUUCCAUACUACAUUGUGAGGUCCUUGAGCAAAGAGUACUGUGCCCCAGUGCAUUGUAUUGAUAUUCAUUCAAUACAAAUGUAAGAAUGUAUUACAUACCAGACAUUCUGCUGAGGGUAGGGAGGGAUUAUAAUACAGCAAAAACUAACACUUUCAAAGUUAAAGCCUAGUUCAGGACACAGUCACACUAUAAAAUGACAACUUAGAAAAAUAGUAUGAAGAGACAUACGGUGCUGUGAGAAUCCAUAAUAAAGAACCCUAGUCAGAAAAGUCUCAAGGAAGUGACGUGAUCGUUGUGGUCUAGAGCUGAAGAAUUAAUAUGAAUUAGGUAGGCAAGAAAGGGAAGUACAAGAGCUGCUUUCUGGGUAAAAGAAACAACAUGGGCAAAGAUUCUGGGGUCAGAGAGAUCACGUCAGUGCACUUGCCAGUUUGCCAAGAACAGGCCGUAUUCACUUUCAGAAGUGUUCAGGUUUGGAUAGUAAAUUGCAGGGCCAUCCUAUCUAUAAGGGACUCUAAGAAGCAUGGUUCUGCUGGAGCAAACAGCAGCUGGACAAGAUGAGGCUACAUAGACACUAGGCCCAAAGGCUAAGUGAAGUAUGUUUUUCAAGACAAUGAGGAAGCUAUUGAAGGAUUUGAAACUGGGUGGUAGCUUGAUGGGACUGGCAAAUUGAAAGUUUUUACUUUAGGUAUAAAUCCCAAAGAAGGAUUAGAUGUGGGUUGAAGUAGAUACAGUAUUCCUAAUUAAGUCAGGAGUCUUUGGCAGAUAAGAGAGGUUAGAAAUGACAUGAUAGACUAGGAUAGUGUAAUGGAGGUGGAGAGAAGUAGAAUUGGGAAGGGUAACAAAACUUGAUGGGAUUGGAUUCAGGCAGGGUUAGGAGGAGGAGGGAUGUUAGUCAUUUGCAGCUGAAUGACAUUCACUUAUAUAGUAAUGUAUUUGGAGAUGUAUAGAUAGGGAGAUCAUUACGUUUGGUUUAAGACAGAAUUGGGCCGGGUGUGAUGGCUCAUCCCAGCACUUUGGGAGGCCAAAGCGGGUGGAUCACAAGGUCAGGAGAUCGAGACCAUCCUGGCCAACACGUUGAAACCCUAUCUCUACUAAAAAUUAAAAAUUAAAAAAUUAGCCGGGCAUGGUGGCAUGCACCUGUAGUCCCAGCUAUUUGGGAGGCUGAGGCAGGAGAAUGGAUUGAACCUGGGAGGCGGAGGUUGCAGUGAGCCGAGAUCGUGACACUGCCUUCCAGCCUGAGCGACAGAGCUAGACUCUGUCUUGGGAAAAAAAAAAAAAAAAAAAAAGACUUACAGAAUUUCUGAUGCCUUUGAAUUGCCCAGGAGGUUUCUGGAUAGAACCAUGGAGCUAAGUGAAGUCUAGACUGAAAAUUAAAGCUGUUAAGUGUGAAGUGUGUAGGGAAAAAUUAAAGUCUUGAGUAUUCAUGAAGUAAACUUGGAAGACAGCCUAAGUGUGUGCAGUGAAGAAUUCCAGUUUAUUUUUGACUAGGUAGAGGAAGAUGAACUGGAUAAGGAGGAGUUACACAGUUACCAGCAGGGUGUUGCGCUACUGAAGAUGAGUAAGGCUUCAUGGAAAGAGUGGUGAAUAAUGUCCAGUUGCUGUAUAAGAAUUAGGUGGAAGGAUUAGCACAUAUUAAUCAUCUAAAAAACAAAUACAUUAAUAUCUUCAAAGUCUGAUUUGGGAGAAUUUGUUUUCAUUGUUUUUUUUCAAACAGGAACUGAACAAUACCAUCAUUUACAGUUACGGGCUAUGGGUGGUCACUUAAUUGGUGUGAUUUGAGACUGAGAACCUCCUGUUCCACAAAUCUAUACUUCAUCCUCUACUAAUGCUUGAAAAGUCAUUGAUAGAAAUCUGUUUUAAAGCAUAUAUUCCUGGGAAGAGUAAUAUGUUUAGAAGAUACAUAAUUCUCAGCUGUGCCAAAAUUUAGAAUUAACUGAGGAGUUGUGUACUAAAAAUGCUCAAGAUUAUAUUCCAUGGUUCUGAGGUGGGGCCUUGGCACAUGCAUUUUUUUAAAAGCUCCCCUAGGUGAUUCUAAUGUGCCAUUGUUGAAAAAUCAUUGACAGCAUCCUAUUAACACAGUAUUGACUCAUAACGUUUUGUUUAGAUGACAUGUGGGUAGGACAGGACACCUAUUUAUAAAACAGUGGUUGGUAAUGGCCAUUGAGUAGGGAGGAUUUCGCCCAAAAGAGAACAUUUGCCAAAAUCUGGAAACAUUUUUGUGGUCAUCCCAGUGGGUGGGUUUUGCGGAGUUGGCACUAUUCAUACAUAGUAGUUAGAGGCCAGGAUACUGUUAAAAAUCCUGCAGUGUACUGCACAGCCCCCUCUCCUCUCAUAAGAAAGAAUUAUCUGGCUCAAAAUGACAAGAGUGCCCUUGUUGAAAAAACUUGCUGUAAGCGAUGGCAAGCUAGGUAGUAUUUUCCAGUGAAAUCUUACACAGAUUGGAGUUGUGGUUUGGUAAGGGUGCUAAUGAAUGAGGAUCUACUCUCUACCUAACAGCUUAGCCAAAACUCACCCUUUCUUAUAACCAGUAACAAAGGAGCCUCAAAUAAAAUACAUUUUUCAGAACAAAGAAAUGUGACUAGCAUAAUAGACUGAUUGCAAUGUUAUUUUUCUUGUUAACAAUUUACAGUGUAACAAACUGUUAUUGCUGGUAAGGGUGCAAAUUGGUUACAACCACUUUGGAAAACUGAUGUGCAGUAUUCAUUAUAGCUGAACUUAUCCUACCCUGUAAUUCAGCAGUUUCAUUCCUGAGUGUAUACGCAAGAGAAAUUAAUGUAUGUGGCUACUAAAAGUUUCGUGUAACAAUGUUCAUAGCAGUUUGAUUCAUUAUAGCCCCAAACUGGAACAAAGUGAAGCAUAUUCAUAAAAUGGAAUAUUAUCUGGUAAUAAAAAAGAAAAUGCUACACACAGUAACAUAGACAAAUCUCGCAGUCAUUGCAUUGAGUGAAAUAAACACAAAAUAAUUCAUAUUGUAUAAUUCCAUUUAUAUGAAAUUCAGGAACAAGCGAAACUAAUCGAUGAUAGAAGUCAGGAUGAUAUUGACCUUUCUGGGGUUGGUAUUGGCUUGGAAGGGGCACAGUGAACCUUCUGAAGUGAUGGAAAUGUAUACCUUGAUCUGGAAUGUUAUACUGGUGUAUGCGUAUGAGAAAGUUCAUCAAGCCGCACAUUGACUUUUUGUGAACUUUAUAUGUGUUAUACUCCAGUGUUUUUUAAUUACUAAAUAUAAGAAAAACAGCAAAGCCACUUCUUAACUACUUGAAGUCUUCUGUCUCAAGCUUGGUUAAAUACAGGGUCAACUACAUACUAUAUUCUCAAUAAAUAUAAAUAACUCUAAUGCAUUAUUUGGUAAAAGGAAUAUGGGAUUUGGAAUCAGACCUAGUUUGUUUGUUUUUUAAGACUAGUCAAGUGCAGGAGUGAGAAGGAGGGAAAGAGUAGAACAAGAGUUCAAUCUAGACCUGACUGAACAACCAAUUGAGAUAACUCACUACCUUUGGACCAGCUUCAGACCUAGUUUUGUAUCACAGCUUCAUCUUUCAUUAGCUGUAUGACAUUGAAUAAGUCACUUACUUGGGUACUUUUUGUGACUAUAAAAGAACAGAAGAUAGCUGAGAGAAGUAUAAAAAACAUUUUUAAAAUUUUAGCCUUCAUUCAUGAUCCCUCACCACUGAGAAACGUCCACACACAUUCAGGAAUGGGCCUCAGCAGUUAAGAAUGCAUUAGGUGACCUAACACCUCUGGCUUUAGCUAGUUGAACAACAGAACCCUAUCUGAAUGAAUCAGAUUUUUCUGAGAAUUUAAAAUUAGGAUUGAGAGAAGCUUGUCAGACUGCUGAUCACUUGAACUGGGAAAAUAUAACCUUAGGCCAGGGCUGCUUUGUUUGGUAGCAAGCAGCAUGUGGAGAAUCUGAGAGCUGUGAUACAGAACAAGAGUAAUCUCAGAUUACUUACUGUGUCACCCAGUGUUCUAAGUGCUAUAAGUCUGUGAAUUUGGGUACAGGUUUAGUAUUCCUUAUCCAAAAUGGUUGGGACCAGAAGUGUUUAGGAUUUGGGUUAUUGGAAUAUUCGCGUAUAUAUAAUUAGAUAUUUGGGGAUGAGUACUCAAGUCUAAACAUGAAAUUCUUUUAUGCUUUAUAUUUUAUGCUUUAUAUAUACCUUAUACACAUAGCCUGAAGGCAGUUUUAUACAAUGUUUUCAGUAAUUUUGUGCAUGAAACACGUGAUGCAUCAUACAAGGUCAGGUGUGGAAUUUUCCACCUGCUGUGUCAUGUGGGUGCUCAGAAAGUUUCAUGAGGCAGAAAGAUUGCUUGAAUCUAGGAGUUCAAGACCUGCCUGGGCAACAUAGUGAAACCCCAGCUGUAUUUAAAACAUAAUAAUAAAAAGUUUCAGAUUUUGGAGCAAAUCAGCUUUUUAAUUAGGGGUGCUCAACCUGUACUAUUAUCCUUACAUUACAGGUAAGGAAACUAAAAAGCUUGCUUAAAGUAAGUGCUAAAGAUAGUAAAACCCAAGUAAUUUGACCCCGGAGUCUGCUUUCAUGAAGCAGUGCUGACAUACCAGACAGAGAUACUGUAGCUGCCUCAGUUCCUGAUAGCUUUCUGGUUCCUGAUCUUAGCGCUUUGCAAGGAUAGGUCUGCUCCCUAUCUUUGAAUUAUUUAUAAUAAUUUAUCCUUAAAAUAAAAUUUUGUGUCUUAAUCUAGCUUGAGUGGGUUUCAGCCAGUUGCAACUGAAAGAGCCCUGCCUCAGUUUGACUGUGAAUGGGGUUGCAAAUAACAAACCUCACAGAAACUGACAAUGGCUGAUUCAAGGUGAGAUAGGUGGGUAAUGUGGACUUUCCACCAUUAAGAUGGAAACUUAGUUUGUGUUAUGCAGCAGUGAAUCCUUUUAUCCAGACUUUCUCCAACAGUGUUUUAGAACUCAGUCAUUGAGUGUUGCAUUACAGAAUUUGGUAGCCAAAUAUUUUUAAAUGUCAAGUAUAUUGGUUACUAUAUAUGAGUUUUGAAAAGCACAUUGGAAAAGAGAGGCAUUCUAAACAAGUUUUCCAGAAACAAAGCAGAUUGGAGCAAACUCUGCAAAUUUGACAAUUAUUGGAAGCCAUUUCUGCCUGUAGCCUAUGGUCUGAGAAUGUUUGACCAGAUCAAAUUAUUCGAGAGGCGUGUUUAAUUGCAGCAUUUUUUUGCCACAUUUUUUCUAAUACUAGAGUUUUUACACUGAGUACCAGAAAGUGAAAUCUUAGUAUUAGGAAUAAGACUCAAGGAGGUGCAAGUGAUAAUAAAGAACUCUAAUUCCUCAGCUUCCUCCCCAAAUAUUUUCUACUGCCUACCCCUUUUCAUGCCUCACAGAAAUAUGAUGAUACUUCACACCAUCUAUCAAUAGCAACUAGGAUUGGAAUGCACUGUGUGUAUAGGGAUAUGACUAAAGGGCAAGCUGGCAUGCCUGCUUAUUCUCUUGUUUGCUUGUGAGGCUAAAACAGAACAAUGUCGAUGGACAGAGUCCCAGCUGUUGCUAAGAAACAGAAGUUCAGAAGAAUUGACAACUUAAGGAGAAAGCUGACCCACUAAGGUCUUCAGCAUUAACUAAAUACAAAAGGAAUCUCCCCUAAAAGAAAAUCGGCAAGCAAUCCUUCACAGUAGAGCAGUUGCAUGCCAUAAAACCCCAAUGUCUGCAGUAGACCCAGACCACAGACUAUCUCAACUUCUCAGGCACCUCCCAUUCUCCAAUUCAAAGGAAUUUGCACCUGCCAUAAGUGAGUACCCUUACCCAAAUGAGGAACCUCAGUGUCUUUCACUUGGGAAUGUACCUGAAGGACUCUAUAAAAGGGAAUCCAAACUGGGUGUAGCCAGAUUUUCUAAUAACUGGUUAGGAAGUGGUUCAAUUAAUUUAUGCCUUGUAAGAUUACAAGGGCCUAUUAUGUCCUAUCAUACUCCUGCUGCAUACAGUAUAUACUGUAAUUGAGCUAGUUAAAUUUGUAUUGAGUCCACAGAUUGCAGUAUAAAUUCAAAUAUUUCUUGAAAGCUCUCUCUAUCCCUGUCCUCAGGCCAAGUACUAGGAAAACAGUGUGAAGGACAGGGUUUUUCUCACUUGGAGUUGACAUUCUAGUUUGAAAUUGGAGGAGGAGAAAGACAGAUGAAUAAGUAAAUAACAGGAUUCUAAAUGGAAGCUGGGUGCCGUGGUACAUGCCUGUAGUCCCAGCUACGUGAGAGGCUGAGGCGGGAGGAUUGCUUGAGUCUACGACCUUUAGUGGAGGCCCACCUAGGCAUCAUAGCAAGUCCUUCUAUCUUUAUAAAUAAAUAAGAUAUUGGGAUGAUUUCUGUAAAGGAAAGAUAGGGUACUAUCAGAAAGAGUAACGAGACAUUUACAUGGGAAGAGCAGUUAGGGUGGUCAGAGAAGGCUUCUUUGAGCUGUAUCUGGAAGGAUGAGAUGGAGCUGAUUGUAGGAAGAACCGUGGGAAAAGUAGGAAGGAGAGCAAAUGCAAAGACCUUAAGGUAGGAGAGCGUUGUGACAUGGAAAGGACUGGAAGAGGCAGAUACUGCUGAAGAUAAGUAAGUAAGAAAUAGAGUUGAUAAUAGAGUGAGCACUCAUUCAACAAUUUAAAAAAUUAUUUUUUAAUUUUUAUCUGAAUUCAUUUUUACAAAUUUUGUAUUAACAUUAAUUUGAGGAAGUAAAAAUAUUCAUUUGGCUAGAAACUUCUCUCUUUCUUUUCAUUUUUUAAGUUCUCUAUACAUCUUAAUUUUUUAACUGCCUGAAAUUAGACUUGGUAUAACAGGUAUAAGGCAUGAAUAUUUUACUUUUAAGAAAUGAUUUUUCAAUCAAUUUGAUUUUAUCAUUUCUUAACAUUUGUUAUUAUGAAUCAUGUUUCUGUUUUUUCCUCUGCUUAGUUAAUAUCACUUUAGAGAAAUGUAAGUAAAAACUGUGCAAAACUGUUGUUUCAUAUACUGCCAUUAACAAAGCUCCCAAGGAGACAGUAUAUGGACCUACCUAACUCAUCAAAAAUAAUUAGCCUAGACAAAUAGACAUAUUGGAUGGGAAGGGAAAAGAAGUACAAUUAGCUCUCCAUGUUGUUGUCCUAUGGGUUUUCACAGUUAAAUCAACAUGCAGUUUUCAAUGACAAUACAUUAAUAAAAUAAGCUAAUUAGACAUUUUGAAAAGGGUUCAAACUUAAGAAAAAAACUCUGUAUAGCCCCAAAUCUACAGUAAAAUAGAACUGCUGCAAGGAAGAGAAUGGUGGUAGGACUUCCGCCUGUUUUUCAUACUUCCAUUUCUGUUCUGUGCCUUCCCCCUGCCUGCCACUCUCAUAUAGAAAUCAGAGAGAGAGAGGUCUUUAAAAAUGUAAAACAAAUCAUGUUGCUUUGCACUCUUUCAGAAAAAUUCAACCUCCUUUCUAUUGAGUCUUACAAGAGCCUGCAUGAUCUCACUUCAGUCUAACUCUCCAAAAUCCCAUCCCCUAUCAUUCUCCCCUCUACUCAUUAUGUUCCAGCCAAUUGGCUUGCUUUCUGUCCUCAAGCCUGCCAAAUUCUUUUCCACUUGCAGGCUUUUGCUCUGGUCAUUUCUGUUCCUGGAAUGCUUCCUUGGCUCUUCACACAUAGGGCUAUUUGUCAUCUUUUAGGUCUGAGGCCAGAUGUCACUUCCUUAGAGAGGCCUCCAAAACAUUUUCCAAAGAGGGCUUCCUCUGUUACUUUUCUAAUUACCCUGUGUAUUUCCUUCGUAGUAAUGAUCGUGAUUUGCAAUUACUUUAUUUUACCUGUCUUGUCUGUUGUCUUCUCUGUUACUAAUACAUAAGCUCCCUGAUAAACUGAUAUGAUGAAACAUUUGGAAAACUUAAGGAUGUAUUAAAAGUAAAUUUUGUAGGAUUUUUAAGAAGCAGCAAUUAAAAAUUACCAGUGAAGCAUAACAAUUAUACAGAAAGGAAACAAAAUCAUCGUGCCCUAUUACCAUCUAUUGUCAACGUGAAGUAAAUAUUGUUAUUGAUUUUAAAAAAUAUGGUGAUAGACAGUAGUUCUAUUGGAGUGGUAGGGGUGGAUGUAGCAUGUGAGUGCUAAAUGCCCAUAGUGGAAGUUGGCAUUGUUGAUCCAACCUCCAUCUGUCUUUCUCCCAUAGGAUAGUGGCCACAUGGUCCAGCUUUAGAGUUCAGCCUGAUUCACUUAAAUUGAUUAGUAUAAUCCCAUCCUGCUUGCCACUCUACUACAUUUAUGGAUGGGCAGAUCUAAGCCAAUAAAUUCAUGGCAUUCCCUAGGCCAUAGGGCAUAGUUAAGGAAUGGGCAUAUAACCCAAUUUGGAAUAAAGAGUUGUGAGAGGUUUGUUUAGGAAUUCAGAGAGGAGGCUUUUUUUUUUUUUUUUAAAUGAAAGAUGACAAUGAGCUUCUUUUUUGCCUCUGGGUGUUGGGUGUGUUGUUGUGAAACCAGGAACUGUUACAUUUCUUUUGCUUCCACGAGAGACGCAAUCGAUGUAAAGAUGAAGACAUCACACAGAAGAGAAGAGAACUGAGGGAACUACAGAGAAAUGGAGCUAGAGCUGCUGGGUGAAGCUGACUCUGAGGCUUCUCAUAAACUCUGUGCUUCCAGUUGUGAAAAUAAAUGCAGUUCUCAUUUCUUCUUCUUCUUUUUUUUGUAAAUUUUUCAAAAUUUUAUUUAUUUAGAGACGGGAGUCUUCCUAUAUUGCCCAGGCUGUUUUUGAAAACCUGGGCUCAAGUGAUCCUUCCCUCCCAAGUAGCUGGGACUACAGGCACAUGCCCCUGUGCUCGGCUGUAGUUCUCAUUUUUUAAACUAGGUGGGAUUGUGAUUACUACAAGUUGAGGCAUCCUAACUGAUAAAAUCCUAUUAAUAAGAAGUCAAGAGAUAAGGUCUAAAAUAUAUAAAUGAAGAAGUAGCUAGGAAUAUAUAUUAUUUAGAAAAAUGGAACUUGCUAGCAGAAUAAACAGCUUUCAGUAGCUAAAAAGUGUUUGUCUCUUUAAAAUAGAAAACAGAGAUGGGGAGGAGAGAUGAGGCACAGGCUAUUUUUUUUUUAAUUGUGAGCCUUUCAACACUUUGAUUUGUUAAUUGCAUAUUUUAAUUGUUAAGUUUUUUAACCUGAUGAAGCUUAGACUUUUAAAUUGAGCCCAUUUUAAAAAUUGUAUCUUAAAUUGCUAUUUUAAUGCAAGCAAUUUUAAAUAAAAAUAUUUGGUGUUCCAGAUAUAGAGAAUGGGUAAUAGAGGAGUAGGGUACAUGGAGUAGGCCUAGAAGGAAAGUCAGGAUCUUAAAGGUUACGAAGUUUGAAGUUUUGGGGUUUUUUUAAGUGCCUAAUGGCUAAUAUUUUUAAUGUAUGUACCAUGCUAAAAGUACUGCAAAAGUGUUGAAAAACAACAAAAACACUGAUAGAUUUGUUAAGAUAGAUUUCUUAAAACAAAUUGAACAUUUUAUACAUAAUUUAUCAAAGCCCAUUUUGGAGAGAGAAGAAUAUCAGUUUUUCUUUUUCUUAGGUUGAUAUUGGCAGUAUGUUUUCCCAAAGUAAUAUUAUAGCCCUAUGUUCCACUUGUAAAAUACUCAACUGUUUCUAUGUGUAACAAAUUUAUUACUUCCCAAUAGAUUUUCACAGUGUUCUCAUAUUCACUGCAUAAAAUUCCAGAUAGGUAUUUGAUACUUAACUUCUUUCUCUUACUACAGAUCCACUUUGCAUCUUAUCUCACCCAAAAUUCAGCUGGCAUCUGACAUGUAUUUUAGUGGAAUGUUUCAAUAUCUUUACAACCUCUUAAUUUUUAUACAGGAUAUAUAGUUGGAGACGCAUUGAGCAAUUUGUUUUGCUACACAAAAAUGUUCAUGGGAGGGGAAAGUUGUGAAAUCCAGCCUGGUGUCCAUUCACCAUAUAGUCUGGAAUUUGCUGCCAAGAAGAAAGGGCACAUUUUGUAACUGACACAAAGUUUCUAUAUGUGUAAGUGGUGACCAAGGUUAGAGAGAGCAGUAAAAACAGCAAUAGAUCGUACAGUACAUAAUAAAUUUUAGCUAAGAUUUUUGAAGCACGCACUGAGUGUUAGGUAGUGAGAUCACAGUGAUGAUGAAUUCACUGGGCCAAUGACGAGUGGGGUGACCAUAGGCCAGUUUGCAGGGUACUACCCCAGUUUGCAUCUGCUUUCCCAUUGUUUUAUCUCAUUAGUGUCCCCUUUCUCACGUGUGUCACAGUUUGGACAGUAAGUUAUCUAAUCACCCAAAAAAAGGGAAAAUUCAUCCCAGACUGAGUGGAAGAGACAUGGGUACGUGAAAAAGCAUGAUCUCCUCUGAUUUGGCUUGAAAAAAAAGUUGGCAGCAGAAAAUGGCACAAGGUAGAAAUUAAGACUGAAAAGAUGGUGAGGAUCCGAGAUGGUAUAGGGCCUUAUGCACUAGUUUUAAAGAGAUUUCUCUUGAAGGCAAUGGGGACUAAUAGUGGUUUGGGGCAGGCAUAUGAUAAAAUCAUAUCUGUUUAGAGUUGAAAAGAGCAAAAAUUUCACUAUAUUACCCUCUAUCCCUUCCCACAAAUCCCCCCGCAACACCCCCCACACAAAGCUGGGAGAAAGGGGAAAAUCAUAUUCUUUCUGAGUGUAAAUGCACUCAUAACUGAGCCCCACUUAACUCCUUGGAAUGAAUGCCAGACCCUAUGUAUUCUAUCUGUAAAACUGUUGUCAUCGGCAUGAUGAAUCUACGUGUUUGCAGAUGGUAAGCUACUCUAAUACAAUAUGCAUUACUUUUCCUAUAAGUUGAAUUGUAUGUUUUAAGAGAUUAUUGUGUCUGUUGGUAAGCCUGUUAAUGCUAGUUGCACAUUAUUGCUAUUAUGUAAUUGAAAAAAUUAUGGAAAUUGAUGAACUAAGAAGGCAACUGUUUCUAUGAAAAUUUUGUUGCAUGCUUUUGAAAAACUGAAAGACAAGUGUCUUAGUUCAGGCUGAUAUAACAAAUUACUGUAGAUUGGAUGGUCUAUAAAUGACAGAAAUUUGUUUCACACAGUUCUGGUGGCUGGAAGUCUAAGAUAGUGUUAACAUAUUCAGGUUCUGGUGAGUGCCCUCUUCUGGGCUGCAGACUGCCUACUUGUGGGACUCUCACAUGGCAGACAGCAGAAAGAAGCAAGCCCUCUUGGGUACUAAUCCCUCAUGGGAUUAGUGUCCCCUCAAGACCACACCUAAUCCUAAUUAUCUACCAAAGGCCGCACUUGCUAAUAUUACAUUAGGGGGUAGGAUUGAGUUUUGGGAGGAUGCACACAUUCAGUCCAUAGCAACAAGUUGCUAAAAAUAUUGGGAUAAUUGAGGUAUGGAUGGAACAACUCUAAAAAAUAAAUAAAAUUAAAGGAGUGGGCAGCGUAACUGUCAAGAAGGUUAUGUGCUCAUUUUGCUAUACCACAUGCUGUGUACCUGUGGCCAUACUAUGCUCUACUAAAGAUAUAGUUCUGGCAGCUACAAUCAGGGCUACUACUUGGACUAGCAGUAGCCUGUGGUCCUUGUCUAGGAUUUAUCUAGUUUUUGUGGGGGGCAGACAGGUGAAUUAAAUGAAAAUAUGAUAGGGAUCAGCAUCAAGGCAUCCUGGAAGUCUUUAAGAGUUGGCACUAAUCUUCUCCAUCCCCACCUGAAAUGUGAGAUACUGCUUUUGGUUUACUCUUUUGUCUGAAGUUUCCAAGACUCUACUUAGCUUUCCCCACUAUAAUAGGUCUUACUUCAGGAUCUAAAACUCAAUGUAGAAAUUACUCUAACUGCCAAGCAUGUCUAUGCCUUCCUAACUAUAAUAGCUCUUAACUUCAGGACCUAAAACUCAAUGUAGAGAUUACUCUAACUGCCAGGCAUGUCUAUACCAAAUAUAACAUUCAGGGACUGGGGACCAUCAGCUGUUCCCAUGGACCCAGGGUACACAUCAUAAGCCAGGAUUUGGCCAAGACUAAAGUUUAUUAUUAGUUUGGUGCAAAAGUAAUUGCAGUUUUUGACAUUAAAAGUAAAAAUGUCAAAAACUGCAAUUACUUUUGCACAAACCUAAUACCUGGCUCCUAUAUGCUGCUGCUCUAGUAAGGCCAAGAUGAUACUGUUGGUCUGCAGGUAUUAAUGUCAACUCAGACCCUGUGUCUGUCUUCUCUGAAGUAUCUAAAUAUUCCCCACUUUCCAGUGUGCAGUCACCUGAGAAAAGGCCUAGAUCCCUUUAGGAAAGGAUGGGAAGAAUCAUUACAGUAUAUGAUUAUGGGUUCCUUCCCUCCAGGGAUCUGGCCACCUGUCAACAGGUUCCCAGUCUGAAAAUUGGCUCAGAUCUGGCAAUUGAGUGAGGGAUCAUGAUGCUUUUUAUUGUGAUAACCACUCUUAGUCUCCCCAUCCACUCUUGCUUUUUUUGAUUAUAUAUGUGAGGCGGUACUCUUGUUGCCUCCCCAUCUGUUUUGCACAUAGGGACACUGAACUCUGUUAGCCAACUCUAAAACUUGUUUUGGGUUGAACCCCCUUGACUGUCACUCUGAUUUUGCUGGUCAUGAUAAUUGUGACUCCCCCUGACUUCUGGCAAUAAACCCUGCCCCCUGGCAUUUAAUGUGCUUCUGGGGCCCAUCAUUCCCAUUCCUUUUGAUAAGCCAAGUUCUGUGAUAGUAUCUUCUACCGUUACCUCUGACUAUCAAAGGUGAACUGGCACUGAACUUUUUAGUGAGGCUAGUGCCUCUCUUACUAGUACAUUCCUGAUGGCCUUAGUGAAUGGUGUGUCCUCCAGGCCCUCCCAUGGAACAUCAUUCUUGUGUGGGCUGCUGGCCUCACAUAAUGUAUCUACUCCAGCCUACCCAUUUCCCUGACCCCUUUAAAUCUUGUUCUUCACUGUCUGCCUUUAGCAGUUGAGGCAUUUCGACUUCACUCAACAUGGGCAAUUGCUUCUAGUAACCAUCCUAACCGGAAGUUUGCACCCUCCUCAGGGACCCCGAUAGAGUAUUAAAUCUCAUAUCCUCAAAUUGCCUCCAACUUAAUGAUGUCACUUUUUUCCAGUCUUAUGUUUCAGCCUUCUUGAUCAAACACCCUCAACAUCCAGUCCCACAUACUCCUCUAUUUCCUACCAAUAUAUUCUGACUAAUUCUUGCAGCUUCUUUUGGGGGUAUACAUUAGGCCUAGCACAUUCCCAUUUGGGCCAUGACUUAAUCCUAGAUACUGGUCUGACAGUCAUGAGAGAUAGGGUAGGUUUCCAAGAAGGCCCUCUGUUGCCUUAUUCAGGAACUAUCUACUUUUGAGUACUAGCUUUCAGUAAGAAAGGUAGGCAGCCUCUGCAGACUGAGUAUUCAGAGGAGAUUUGACAGCCAAAAUGUUUGGGGGUAUCCCCCUAGCUGUCCUCAUCCUGUAUGCCAGAGUCCCAAGUUUUCCAACUAACAACCUAACCUUGGCUUCAAUUGUAUUUUAAUCUUCUUGACUGUUAAGUCCUGAGUUUGGUGUUCCAGCUUUUUUCUGUUUUCCCAGGACAAAAAGAUAAGGGCCUCUUUGUAAGCUACUAAAGAAGCUGUCUGGCCUACACAGUAAGUUUUCACUUGUUUGUUAACAAGCUCUCAGAUUUUCAUUAACGUUUUGUAGGCCUUAAUGUAAUUUUAUAAUAGCUGGCCAAUUCCAUUGUUCUUGUAGAUAUUAUCACACACACACACUGAAUUUUUGCCCCAACAAGGGCAUUGCUCUGCAUCAGAACAUUCUCCCAAGUCACUCCUGUAAGUUGUUUUUUUUUUUUUUUUGAGACGGAGUCUUGCUCUGUAGCCCAAGCUGGAAUGCAGUGGCGUGAUCCCAGCCCCCUGCAAGCUCUGCCUCCCGGGUUCACGCCAUUCUCCUGCCUCAGCCUCCCGAGUAGCUGGGACUACAGGCGCCCGCCACAACGCCCGGCUAAUUUUUUGUAUUUUCAGUAGAGACAGGGUUUCACCAUGUUAGCCAGGAUGGUCUCGAUCUCCUGACCUCAUGAUCCACCCGCCUCGGCCUCCCAAAGUGCUGAGAUUACAGGUGUAACCCACCGCACCCGGCUACUCCUGUAAGUUUUAAUGACUGAGCCACCACGUUCUUCCAGGAACUAUCCAUGCUCCAGCAAUCACAUAUCCCAUUAACAGUGGGACAGUUCUGAUCUAACCCCAAGCCCCAUCUAUCCGUUUGUUUGAGUUUGUGGUAUAAUAUGAAAUAAUUUGGUCUUUGUCUCCAGUUCCUGUCACAGAGCUAAAACCCUUGGAAUUUCCUUGUUAUUCAUAAUAUCCCUCUCUUGAUCACAUCUGAGUUUAUGCUAAUGAGAUAAUUUAGGGUGGGGCCCCUAAAUAGCCUCAGGAUCAGGCCAGUUGCCAGAAAAACCAGGUGAUUACAGGAUGAGAGGAUUGGAACUUUUAACUACACCCAACAACCUCCAGGAAAGGGAGUGGGGCUGGAUGGAUGUCAAGCUCUAUAAAAACUCGGACAACAUGAUUUGAUGAACUUCCGGGUUGCUGAAGAUACAGAGAUGUUGGGAGGCUAGCACACCCAGAGACAGCAUGGCCGCUCUGUGCCUGCUUUCCUCCCCUUACCUCAUCCUAUCUAUCUUCAUCUGUCUGUUCAUGUUUAUCCUUUAUAAUAUCCUUCAUAAUAAACCAGCAAAUAUAAGUUGUUUACCUGAGUUCGGUGAGCCAACCUAGCAAAUUAAUUAAAUGCUGGAAGAAGGUUGUGGGAACCCUGAUUUGUAGCAGGUCAGAGUAUAGGUGACAACCUAAUACUUAAAUCUGAAGUGAAGGCAAUCUUGUGGGGCUGAACCCUCAAACUGUGGGAUCUGACAUUAUCUCCAGGUAAAUUGCCAGGUGGAUUACACUAGUCCAGGUAGAUAGUGUCAGAAUUGAAUUCAAUUAUAUAAUACCCAUUUGGUGUCCAGUGGAGAAUUGCUUAGUUUUGGGAAUAGCCCCCCACACAUCUGUUCACAGAAGUGUUCUGUGUUUAGUGUGAGAGUGGGAUUGUGGGAAACAGAAUGUGUUUUUUUUUCUUUUUUUACAGGGUUGCUGUAACAAAAUAACAUAAACUGGUUGGCUAAUAAAUAACAAAUUUAUUUCUCACAGUUCCAGAGGCUGGAAAGUUCAAGAUCAAAGAGCUGGCAAAUUUAGUGUCUGGUGAGGGCUGACUUCGUAAUAGAUGGCGUCAUCUCAUGUGCCCUCACAUAGCUGUUUUUUUUUUUUUUUUGAGAUGGAGUUACGCUCUUGUUACCUAGGCUGGAGUGCAAUGGCACAAUCUCGGGUCACUGCAACCUCCGCCUCCCGGGUUCAAGUGAUUCUCCUGCCUCAGCCUCCCGAGUAGCUGGGAUUAUAGGCAUGUGCCACCAUGCCCGGCUAAUUUUGUAUUUUUAGUAGAGACAGGGUUUCUCCAUGUUGCUCAGGCUGGUCUUGAACUCCCAACCUCAGGUAAUCAGCCCGCCUCAGCCUCCCAAAGUGCUGGGAUUACGGGCGUGAACCACCAUGCCCAGCAACCCUCACAUAGUUUAAGGGACAAACUAGCUCUCUGAGGCACUAAUGCCAAUCAUGAGGGCUAAUUACUUCCCAAAGGCCCCACCCACCUCCUAAUACUAUCACCUUGGAGGUUAGUAUUUGAACAUAUGAAUAUUGGAGAGACAUAAACAUUCAGACCACUAAUCCUUAUACCAACUGGUUCACUUUGGAUGUUCCAGGAAGGAGAAUAUAACAUUAACUCAGGAGUACAAGAAUACUGGAAAAAUGAUGGGGAAAAAAAGACACAGACUGUGGUGUAGAUCUAAAAAUCAGGCUGGGUUGGAUGGUUCAUGCCUGUAAUCCCAGUAUUUUGGGAGGCCGAGGCAGGUGGAUCACUUGAGGUCAGGAGUUCGAUACCAGUCUGGCCAACAUGGUGAAACCCUGUCUCUACUAAAAAAUACAAAAAUUAGCCAGGUGUGGUGGCUCAUGCCUGUAAUCCCAGCUACUCGGGAGUCUGAGGCAUGAGAAUCACCUGAGCCUGGGAGUCAGAGGUUGCAGUGAGCCGAGAUUGUGCCACUGCAUUUCAGUCUGGGCAACAGAGCGAGACUCUAAAACAAAUAAAUAAGUAAAUAUCUAGCAAAAUCUCAGCUAACCCAUUGUGGAACUCUGGGGAAAAUAUCGCUUGUUAGGGAAAUUCAACAUUGGACAGAAAUGACUAGACCCUCAUACCAUUGCCAUGUUCAGUCAUUGGCUGAGGGCUGCCAGAGAAGACGUUGCCUCAACUGGUAUGCUGUGGUAGAUCUUGACAGUGCUGCAGAUGGAGGCAGUUAGCUUAAUGGUAUUCAUUGCAGCUGAAUGGCAAGUUCUAUCUAAAAGGGAGAUGUUAGUGGUGUACCUCCUAUGACUGCCCCACUGAUCUAACCUGAGAAGGUUCAGGAGGUGCCUGCAACUAGUAGUCUAAGCAUUUGAUGAGGAAGGAGAGUAAGGCCAAAACAAGGCAGGUUGGUUGAAAGCUGAUGACGGAGCAGUUAUCCCAUUAGAUAUCCCCAACUCUUGUCACUAGGCAAAGGCCAGUUGAAAACUGGUUUUAUCAGUACACAUCCACACCUAUUCAUUUACAUAUUGCCUAUGGCUCCUUUUUAUUUUUUCAUUUACAUAUUAUCUAUACCUCCUUUUUUUAUUUUUAUUUUUUUCUUUCUGAGAUAGGGUCUUGUUUUGUCACCCAUGCUGGAGUGCGGUGGUGCCAUCACGGCUCACUACACUCUUGACCUUCUGGGCUCAAACUAUCCUCCUACCUCAGCUUCCCGAGUAGCUGGGACCACAGGCGCACGCCACCACUCCCGGCUAAUUUUUGUAUUUUUCUGUAGAGAUGGGGUUUUGCCAUGUUGCCCAGGAUGGUCUUGAACUCCUGAGGUCAACCAAUCCACCCACCUCGGCCUCCCAAAUUGCUGGGAUUAGAGGCAUGAGCUACUGCACCCAGCCUGGCUCCUUUUUUUACUAUGAUGCAGUGUUGAGCAAAUGCGAAAAUAUUUACUGCUUAGUCUUUUCCAGAAAAGCUUGCUGAAAAGUUUGCUGAUUCUCAAUCUAUGCUAUUGGGGUUAUUUACAUCUAUGCAUUGAGGUUAUUUGUAUCUAUUGUAUCUCCAUGGUAGAAUUACUAUAUAAUGGUGUGCUGCUGCUUAUCUCUUCCCAACUGCAUUCAGAGGAAUCAUGUUGGUAGCUUGAAAUUGGCUGUAAUGGGGGAAUUUUACCACAGAAGUUAGCAAAUGCUACAAUUCGGGACUUUUUCUUUUUGGACAGCUGAUUGUUAAACAUUGACCUGCAGCAUUUUUCGCUACAGGGUAUUACAGGCUGAAUUGUUUCCCCUCUCCAGAGGUAUAUGUUGAAGUGCCUACCCACAGUACCCCAGAAGGUGGGUCUUUAAAAAGGCAUUUAAGGCUAGGCACGGUGGCUCAUGCCUGUAUUCCCAGUACUUUGGGAGUCCGAAGCAGGCGAAUCACCUGAGGCAAGGAGUUUGAGAGUAGCCUGGCCAAUGUGGUGAAACCCCAUCUCUACUAAAAAUACAAAAAUUAGCUGUGUGUGGUGGCAUGCGCCUGUAAUCUCAGCUACUUGGGAGGCUGAGGUGGGAGGAUCACUUGAACCUAGGAGGCAGAGGUUGCAGUGAGCUGAGAUCACGCCACUGCACUCCAGCCUGGGUGACAAAGCGAGACUCUGUCUCAAAAAAAUAAAAAUUAAAAAGUCAUUUAAGUUAAAAUGAGGUCAUUAGGGUGGGCUCUAAUCCAGUAUGACUGGUGUCUUUAUAAGAAGAGGAAAUUUUUACAAACAGGUAUUGGGGAAGACCAUGUGGUAACACAAGAAGACAGUCAUCUACAAGCCAAGACAGAGGCCUCAGAAGAGAACAACCCUACUGAUACCUUGAUCUCAGACUUCUAGCCUCCAGAACUAUGAGAAAAUAAUUUCUGUCAUCUCACCUGCCUAUUCUGUGGUACUUUGCUAUUGUAGCCUUAGACUGAUAGAGUAAGUGACCUGAGAAAGUGUCAAAAGUUCCUGCAGAAGAAAUCGAUUGAAAUUACUUCCAAAGAGCUUUGGUAUAGGGCCAGGAAUAGUGGCUCAUGCCUAUAAUUUCAGCACUUUGGGAGGCUGCGAUGGGAGGAUCACUUAAUGCCAGAAGUUCAAGACCAGCCUGGGCAACAUAGUAAGACCCUGUCUCUAAUGUCAAUUUAAAAAACAAAUACACACAACAACAACAACAACAACAAACAAAAAAUGGCUUUGAAUAUUUACUGCAUGGUCUUUUCCAGAAAAAUUUGCACCUCACAGAAGUUUGCUAAUUUCUGUGGUAAAAAUUCCCCCACUACAGCCAGUUUCAGGCUACCAACAUGAUUUCUCUGGAUGCAGUUGAGGAUAAGCAGCAGCACACCAUUAUGUAGUAAUCCCACCACAGGGAUACAGUAGAUACAAUGCACAGAUGUAAAUAACCCCAAGAGCAUAGAUCAAGAGUCAGCAAAUAUACCUGAUUCUUUUUACCCCAACUGCAUUUUGAUGACAUUUAAUAAAUUUGUUGAGCACUCUAGGUACCAUGCAAGCCUUUUGGACUCUGUAAAGACCAGUUCCCCUAGGCAAUAAUCUUCAAGACUCUAGAAUUAGGGUUAUAUAAAGGCAGUACAGCUUUGUUCCCUCCCACCUGUACCCUGCCUUUUGUUGGCCUCAUUCCUAAGGUAAAGUGAUAGCUAGGUAAAAAGCAGAAGAUACAUACAGCUAAUGACAGUCUAAGGGAGAAUUUCAGGAAGGAUCCAGUAGGCCAGGUGAGUGACACCUGAGCUACUUUGUGUUUAAGAUAUACUCAUGUAGAAAGCCCUUGAGAGCUGGGUGCAGUGGCUCACGUGUGUAAUCACAGCACUUUGGAAGGCUGAGACAGGCGGAUCACCUGAGGUCAGGAGUUCGAGACCAGCCUGGCCAACAUCGUGAAACCCCGUCUCUACAACAAAUACAAAAAUUAGCUGGGUAUGGUGGCAGGUGCUUGUAAUCCCCGCUACUCCAGAGGCUGAGGUAGGAGAAUCAUUUGAACUUGGGAGGAGGCAGAGGUUGCAGUGAGCGGAGAUUGCGCCAUUGCACUCCAGCCUGGGCAACAGAGCGAGACUCCAUCUCAAGAAAAAAAAAAAGCCCUUGAGAGAAAGGGGCAAGUAAUAUGAAUGUACCACUCCCUAGGUAGUAUAAUCUUUGGCCUUAAAAGUUCUCUGUGACUUGACCUAGGGUGUUUUUAACAUGGAAAAGAGCAAACUUAUUGGGAAACUAAAUAGUCCCAAGACUUCAGGAGAAUAAAAUAAUCCCAGUGACCUUUUAUGCUGUUGUGGUGUGAAUAUCGCACCCCGAAUUAAUAUUUGAAAUUUAUUAGCCAAUGUGGUAAUAUAAAAUGUGGGGCUGUUCGAAGGUGAUUAAGGCCAUAAAAGGGGUUACGGAAGUGGAUUUUCUCUCUCCCACUCUUUUGCCAUGCAAGGACACAGCAUCCAUUCCCUUUUUUACCUUUCUGCCUUCUGCCAUGUGAGAAGGCCCUCACCAGACAUCAAAUGCCAGUGCCUUGAUCUCAGACUUUCCAGCCUUCAGAACUGUGAGGAAUAAAUUUCUAUUUUGUAUAAAUUACCCAGUCUGUGUUAUUUUGUUACAGCAACACAAAUGGACUAAGACAUAUACCAUUAGCACUUUUGGAACAUGAUUUACUUUACUGGCACGGUACAUAUAUAAAAUAAACUCUUUUAUCCUUUUGAAAAUCAAUAAAUAUGCAUUGAAUGCCUAUGUGUUUAUGUAGGUGUACACAGGCUAUAAUAGGAGAGCUCUAAGAUAUUUAAACAUUUAUUCUCACAUCAUUAGUUACUUGAUAGAGAGUAUAAAGGGCAGAAAGACUUGAAGUAGUGGGAGCAUAGCCACUGCUGAUUAAAGACAAAAAAUAAGAAAGUAGACAAUUAUUUGUCAGUUAAAAG
rnacentral:lncRNA from 1 species